AUCGGGGUAGCUCAACCGGACAGAGCGGCCGGCUUCUACCCGGCAGGUUGUGGGUUCGAAGCCCACCCCCG
rnacentral:tRNA from 1 species